AUUGAACGCUGGCGGCAGGCCUAACACAUGCAAGUCGAGCGAGCGGCGGACGGGUGAGUAAUUUCUGGGAAACUGCCUGAUGGAGGGGGAUAACUACUGGAAACGGUAGCUAAUACCGCAUACCAUCAGAUGUGCCCAGAUGGGAUUAGCUAGUAGGGGGGGUAACGGCUCACCUAGGCGACGAUCCCUAGCUGGUCUGAGAGGAUGACCAGACACCCUGGAAAUGAGACAAGGUCCAGACUACUACGGGAGGCAGCAGUGGGGAAAAGUGCACAAGGGGCGGAGGCCUGAUGCAGCCAAGCCGCGUAGGUGAAGAAGGCCUUGGGGUUGUAAAGCACUUUCAGCGGGGAGUCGUUACCAGAAGAAGAAGCACCGGCUAACUCCGUGCCAGCCGCCGCGGUAAUUC
rnacentral:rRNA from 1 species